UUGCUAAUUUAUUCUCUUUUUAAGUUGUCAGUUAAACAAAUAUAAUACAAUAUAAUGCAAUGCUAUCCACCAGCUUCUAAUCAUGUUCAUAAAAGGUUUAAAGGUCGCUGGGGUUAAAUAUACAUAUAUUAAAUGAUGACCAGCUGACACGGGAUUGUUUUAAUACAAAAAAUUCAUGAAUAUUAAUAAAGGUCCAGUUAGGCCAACUAAAAUUAAUUAGUAGAUUUUCAUCCAAAUUUUUGAAAAAAAUGGGGCGGGUGGGAGGAUUUUAUUUUUUAAAUUUUAUUUCAUAAGAAACCCUCUAGUGACAAGUUCUUUAUACCGCAGGGGUAUAAACAAGUGUAAAAUAAGCUAAUAUAUCGUGUAUAUUGUAUAUACAUGUAUAAGGAAUCGUUCAUAAAUUUUCAAACUCUUUAAAAAUAAAUAUCUCUGAUAGGCAACCACAAUUGACUGUUUUACAUGUAAUUGCCACUUUAGAAACCUAUCUAUAGUAAACAUCAAAAACAUGGAGAAAAUUAAUGCUCUCUUCAGUUGGACUAUUCCUACACCAAAUUUGUUUUGCUUUCUAAGCGAUGGUUUGAAGUUCCCAUAAAAUUAAGUAAACUUGUACAAAUAUAUGCAAUACAAGUAUUAUGAGUACAGAAUUAAAUGAAAACUCCAACAAUG
rnacentral:lncRNA from 1 species